rfam:Giardia lamblia ATCC 50803 SC_592 genomic scaffold, whole genome shotgun sequence.
GCCGGGAUAGCUCAGUGGUAGAGCGUGGCACUCGUAAUGCUAAGGUCGUGGGUUCAACUCCCGCUCUCGGCU